AAGUAGAAGAUAUGGAUUCUGAUGUAGAUGUUGCGGAAUUAGAGUUUGAAAGGCAGGUGGGUUCAUGUGUUGGAGUACAAGGGAAAAAUGAGUUGGCCAAGUAUUUAGAAGAUGAUAGAGAAGUUAAUCCCGCCGGAAAAAGCUUUGAUUGUUUGGGGUGGUGGAAAAAAUAUGGUGAAAGGUAUCCAACAAUAGCUCUCAUGGCUAGAGAUGUACUCUCCAUUCCCGUAUCAACAGUCGCUUCCGAAUCAGCUUUUAGCACCGGUGGUCGAGUGCUUGAUUCAUUUCGCAGCUCACUCUCAACUAAGAUGGUUGAAGCCUUGAUUUGAGCACAAGAUUGGUUACGUACAUCUCAAGGUCCUCUUAUACUUGAGGAGAGACUUGAAGAUAUGGAAAAAAUUGAAUCAGAAAUGUUACCUCUUGGUGAGGAACACUCUCUCUUUGUUGAUGAUGAUUAAUUGAUUAGAGGCAACAACUUAUAAUCAUGAAGGUUGGUGGUGAUUGUAUUGAAGGCCGGAAGUCAUUGAAGGCUUGGAGUAUUUUAUGAAAUAUGAUUACUAUGGACUGUUUUUGUUUUAAAACUAUAAACUAUGGACUUUUUUUUUUGUUAUGUAUUGGUUUAUUAUUGUUAACUAUGGACUUUUUUUUUUAAAGAAACAGUAUGUUUGUAUCAAGUA